UUGGGAAACUGAGACAGGAGCAUAUUGAGUUGAGGGUCAGUCAAAUAACAACGGCGUCUCUUUUUCUUUUUCUUUCUUCCUUUCUUUCUUUCUUUCUUUCUUUUUUUUUUUAAAAAACCUUUAAUAGCCUCAAGUUCAUCUUUGUGAUUAACUUUUUAUUUUUAUUGUUUUUUAUAAUUUAUUAUUUUGUUUGUAUAUAUGUGUGGGUGAGUGCCUGCCUGAGGAGGUCAGAAGAGGUCCUCAGAGAUGGAUGUGCUGGGAAUAGAAUCCGGGACUUUCUGGAGGAGCAGCAAGCACUCUUAAACACUGAACCACUUCUCCUGCCCAGUGUUUUAUUCUGUUUUUUAAUUUAGGAAAAGGUCUUUGGGAGACAAGUACUUAAAAUACACAUUCUUGCGAUGCUUAAAUCUUCCUGGAAGAGUUAACGAUUCAGUCAGAUAGUAUCUUUACCAAAAAGGUAACAGAAUCCUAAUUCUGCAAGUCUCACCAAUAUAGUACUUUAUCAUAUAAUGGUUAAACCCAAAGAAAAAACGAUUCCACAGUAAAACCAUAGACUUUUUCUCUAGACAGGGACUACACUGGGUAGACUAGGCUCUGUAGACCGGGCCUCGAACUCACAGUGAUCCACCUGCCUCUACCUCCCAGUGCUGGGAUUAAAGACGUGCUCCACCACGCCUAAACUUAAGUGUGGACUUUCGGUUGGUGGAAGGUGGUGAGAGAUCUUUCAUCAUUCGGUUCAAAGCCCCAGUGCCUGUGGAGGGAUGGCUUCCAAUAAAGAAGCUGCGGUUGCCCUCUAGAAGAUCCAGAAGACGAAGUACCCGCAACAGGCGGAGCCACAAGACGCCGGCGAUCAAAACCGCCAAGCCCUCGUCUUUUGUCUUCUCCAGGACUGAAAAGGAAUCCGGGCGGGAACCUGCUUGAGUCCUUCAGCUGGGACGCCCACUCGCCCACUCUUCAGCCUCAGCGAUUCUCACAAGGGUCAGUCCGUGAGAGACUGAGCCCGGGACCAGAGCCACCAGGGGGCGCACGCACCGCCGCCCGAAGAGGAAGUCCCGCCUCCCGUUUCCGGCGGCAGAAAGGGGGAGAGGCUGAAAGCGUCUUCCGGUUUGGGAAAGGUUGCGCUCAGUGCACGUGUGUCUUUUCCACCCGGCUCCUGCGUGUUCCUCUGUCCGAGUGAUCUUGUCUGUGGUACUCCUCGCAGGCCUAAGGAUGAAGGCGAGAAGAAAUAAAAAGCAGGUCCCAAGCUUUCGCAAGUUGAUAAAAACUAGUAAAGUGAAACUUGAAAACAAAUUGAAAAAUAAGCAAUUUAAACAACAAAGUACCAUCAAGAAGUACCGAAAAGAGCAGAGGAAACUAAGGCAAGCUGUAAAAGAUGCUGUGUCUAAAAAACCCAUUCCGCUGGAGGACCCAAAGAGCAAACGGCCAGUUAAAAGGAUGGAGAGGGAGGAGGACGAGGAGGAAGAAGCCCUGCCUUUGGAUAUGAUGGACGAGGAUGACCUACAGCUGAUGAAGGAUUUAGGACAAAAGGCAUCUUUUCUCACAAGAGAUCUCUCUUCUAGUGAACCAGUCCAUAUCAAGAAACGAAAGCAUGAGAGUGUGAUAGAGAAAUAUGAAAAAGUGCCAAGAACUCUGCAAACCGCACCGGAGAAGGAGUUGAUUCACCUGCUCCCUAUCAAGGACAAGAGUGGCAUCAUCCCUCAGGCUCGGGAGAAGCCGGUCACUGACGUGCAGCAAGAAGAGGAGGCUGAGGAAGAGCUGGAAGAUGAGGAAGAGGUCAUUGAAGACCCCAGGAAGGAGCUGACCAUAGAAGAGCAUGUGAUCGAGAGAAAGAAGAAACUGCAGGACAAGAAAAUACAGAUUGCAGCCUUAGCAUCUGCUAUUCUGUCAGAUCCAGAAAGUCAUAUUAAAAAACUGAAAGAGUUGCGUUCCAUGCUGAUGGAGCAGGACCCUGAUGUGGCUGUCACUGUCCGGAAGUUGGUUAUCAUCUCACUGAUGGAGCUGUUUAAGGACAUCACUCCCUCGUAUAAAAUCCGGCCUCUAACCGAAGCAGAAAAAUCUACCAAGAUUCGUAAAGAAACCCAGAAGUUAAGAGAAUUUGAAGAAGGCCUGGUUAGCCAAUACAAAUUUUAUUUGGAAAAUCUGGAGCAAAUAGUUAAAGACUGGAAGCAAAGGAAGCUGAAGAAGAGCAAUGUGGUGUCCUUAAAGGCCUACAAAGGGCUGGCUGAAGUGGCAGUGAAGAGCCUGUGUGAGCUGUUGGUGGCCCUGCCCCAUUUUAACUUUCACAACAACAUCAUUGUACUGAUUGUCCCUCUGAUGAACGAUGGGUCAAAACCGGUAUCUGAAAUGUGUUGCGAAGCAGUAAAGAAACUCUUUAAACAAGAUAAAUUAGGCCAAGCUUCUCUGGGUGUCAUUAAAGUCAUCUCUGGUUUUGUAAAGGGCAGAAAUUACGAAGUUAGGCCAGAGAUGUUAAAAACAUUUUUAUGCCUGCGGAUCAAGGAGGUAGAAGUGAAAAAAGAUACAGAGGACAUUAACAAGCCCAAAAGGUUCAUGACUUUCAAGGAGAAGAGAAAAACUCUAUCAAGAAUGCAAAGAAAGUGGAAGAAAGCAGAAGAGAAACUAGAGCGGGAACUUCGGGAGGCCGAAGCUUCGGAAAGCACUGAGAAAAAGCUGAAACUGCACACCGAGACUCUGAAUAUUGUGUUUGUGACCUACUUCAGAAUACUGAAGAAGGCCCAGAAGUCACCUCUUCUGCCAGCGGUUCUAGAAGGCCUUGCCAAGUUUGCACAUCUUAUAAAUGUGGAGUUUUUUGAUGAUUUAUUAGUGGUUCUUCAUACCCUCAUUGAGUCUGGGGAGCUAAGUUAUCAAGAAAGUCUCCACUGUGUUCAAACUGCUUUUCAUAUUCUUUCUGGACAAGGUGAUGUUUUAAAUAUUGACCCGAUGAAAUUCUAUACACAUCUCUACAAGACACUGUUCACAUUACAUGCAGGUUCUUCCAAAUUCAAGCAUUGGCCUUUUAGCAACUACCAGGAUAUUGAUGCAUACUUUUCCCAGAACAGAUCUCUUGCUUGAUAACGAGUCUCAGGGCAGCGGGGUGUUUCUACCUGAGCUGGAGGAGCCAGAGUACUGUAAUGCACAGAACACCGCACUGUGGGAGCUGCACACGCUUCGGAGACAUUACCAUCCCAUUGUGCGAAGGUUUGCAGCACAUCUGCUUGCUGGGGCACCAUCCGAAGGCUCUGAGGCCCUCAAGCCCGAGCUGAGCCGAAGAUCUGCAGUUGAACUUUUUGAGACUUACAGCAUGGCAGCAAUGACAUUCAAUCCGCCUGUUGAAUCUUCACACUCCAAAAGGAAGGAUAAAUUUUUACCAGGAGACUCAUUUUUGAAUGAAGAUUUAAAUCAACUAAUCAAAAGAUACUGUAAUGAAGCUGCUCCUGAGACACCGCUGGAUUUCGCCAAGUGUUUGGAAAGCUCAUCCCGGCAGUACAGAGUGAAUGGACUGUCUUAGAUAUCUGCAUGUGCAUGGCAGAGACACAAGGAUAUGUGAGGGCCUGUUUCUGUUUGUACAAGGAAGACUUCCUAAGAAUGAUUAUUUGAGAACUGGAGCAGGGCCACAGAAGACCCUGCUCAUUGGCUUGCUUUUCAUGCCUUGCUCGGCCUGCCUUUUUAUACAGUCCACACCAACUUGUCCAGGAAUGGCACUGCCCAUCAGUCAUGAAAUCUACAAAUGCCCUGCAGACGUGCCAUAGUCUAGUCUGUGGAGGCAGUCCUUCAGUUGAGAUUUCCUCUGCUCAGGUUACUCCAGUUAAGUAGACAAAACCUAAACAAGACAGCUAUUAAAUUCUCUUUAUAACUAAAAAAAUAUUGUUAUUGCAGCACCAUAGUUGAAAGCAAAUAAAAUAUUUUGUGGGUUUUUUUUUAACCUUCAUGGUUUUUUUUUUUUAUUUGAUUUAAUUUGAUUUGAAUUUUUUAUGAAUUUAUUUACUUAUUCACUUUACAUCCCCAUCGUAGAUCCCUUUCCUUCCAGUCCCCCUCCCCCCAUGACUCCUCCCUCCCACCCCCUCCCUGUCAUUUCUAAAGGAAUGAAGGUUCCCCCCUGGGUAUCUACCCACCCUGGCACCUCAAGUCACUACAGGACUAGGUACAUCCUCUUUUAGUGAGUUCAGACAAGACAGCCCAGGUAGGAGAACAGGGUCCACGGGCAGGCAACAGAGUCAGGGUAGGACCAGCUCCGGUUGUUGGGGGAUCCGAUGAAGACCAGCCUGUACAUCUGCUACAUAUGGGGGGAGGGCUAGGUUCAGCCCUCUGUGCUCUUUGGUUGGUGGUUCAGUCUCUGGGAGCCCCCAAUUUUGUGAAUUUUUUGAUAAAUAAGUUAAAGUUAUACUCUUGUUCAUUGGCUCUUGUUGAAUGACACAAGGAAUGACCAAAUCUGACCUUUAAGGAGGAAUGAGUGCUCUCAUUGCUAGUGUGAGAGAGAGUAUGAGUCAGAAUCUAGAGUCUUUGAAGUUGGGUUAACUUAUUACCUGAGAGUGAUAGGGGAAAAUUGCUCAGUAAGAUGAAAGGUCCAAGAUUUCCAUUGUGCCAUAGGAAUAUCGGUUCCUGUCCAACCAGGAAAGUGUUUUUCUCUUAAAUUCUUUGUUGUUGUUGUUUUGUUUUGUUUUCUUUUUUGAGACAGGGUUUUGUAGACCAGGCUGACCUUGAACUCAGAAAUCCACCUGCCUCUGCCUCCCAAGUGCUGGGAUUAAAGACGUGCGCCACCACCGCCCACCUUAAAUUCUUACAGAUAAAAACUGUAUAUGUUUAUAAAUAGUUAUAAAGAACUAUUUUAUAUAAUAGCUAUUAUCAUUGUAGAAAUGACUUACAAAUACAAAAUGUGUAUGUAAAUACUUUCUGCUAUUAACUGAAUAAAGUAGCUUCGAUUUUUACUUCCUA